GAUGAAGAACGUAGUGAAAUGCGAUACUUGGUGUGAAUUGCAGAAUCCCGUGAACCAUCGAGUCUUUGAACGCAAGUUGCGCCCGAAGCCAUCAGGUUGAGGGCACGUCUGCCUGGGCGUCACAUAUCGUUGCCCAAUGCCUAUUGCAGUGCAAUAGGAAUUUCUAGGGCGAAUGAUGGCUUCCCGUGAGCGUUGUUGCCUCGCGGUUGGUUGAAAAUCGAGUCCUUGGUAGGGUGUGCCAUGGUAGAUGGUGGUCGAGUUAGAACGAUACCGAUCAUGUGCAUGCUCCCCAAAAUAUGGCCUCUAUGACCCACACGCGUCUUUUGACGCUCAUGACGAGACCUCAGGUCAGGCGGGGCUACCCGCUGAGUUUAAGCAUAUCAAUAAGCGGAGGA
rnacentral:misc_RNA from 1 species